GAUUAACGCUAGCGGCAGGCCUAAUACAUGCAAGUCGAACGGUAACAGGUGUAGCAAUACAUGCUGACGAGUGGCGCACGGGUGCGUAACACGUAUGCAAACUACCUAUAACUGGGGAAUAGCCUUCCGAAAGGAAGAUUAACACCGCAUAACAUCACGAAACGGCAUCGUUUUGUGAUCAAACCUCCGGGGGUUCUAGAUGGGCAUGAGUAACAUUAGCUAGUUGGUGAGGUAAGGGCUCACCAAGGCUACGCUGUUUAGGGGGUCUGGGAGGAUGUUCCCCCAGACGGGUAAGAAGACAGGGCCCAGAUUCCUAGGGGAGGCAGCAGUAGGGAAUAUUGGACAAUGGGGGCAACCCUGAUCCAGCCAUGCCGCGUGAAGGAGGAAGGCCCGCUGGGUUGUAAACUUCUUUUGUACGGGAAUAACCCCCUUUACGUGUAGAGGGCUGAAUGUACCGUAAGAAUAAGGAUCGGCUAACUUCGUGACAGCCGCCGCCGUAA
rnacentral:rRNA from 1 species